CAAUGGGGAGGGAGGCUUAGAGCAGAGCCGGCGCUCGGAUAGCGCCGUCUCUGCAUGAUCCGACAGGGGAGAUCCUGAGAUCUCCCCUGCCGGUCUCAAUACAUAGGCAUGCCGCGGGGAUUAGGGUGUGCCCAGGCACACCCGACACAUCCCGUGCGCACGCCUAUGCCACCAAGGCCCACACGAUUCACCACACACUUAUCUUAGAGUAAAAAGAGAAACCCCCAUUCAUGGUAGUUUCGACCCACACAUAUAUAUCGAUGCUAUUGGAGUACCAAGGGGGGGGUACCAAAUGAG